rnacentral:misc_RNA from 1 species
GAAGGACCUCAGCAGCCUCACCUCGCCCUCGCCCACAAACUCUUCCUCCUCACCCACCCCGAAGUCGACGACAUCGAGAAGGUCCAACUCCGCGACGAUGUCUUCGCCGCCGUCAAAGCCGACAACAUGGCACCGCUGUACGAGUCGCUGGCGGCCAGAUCUGUGCUGGAGAUGGACGUCGGAGUGCUGGAUGCGAUGCGGAAGGAGAUCGAUGAGGAGGUGAAGAAGCUCGAUGAAAAGAUUGCUGAUGCUGAAGAGAACUUGGGCGAAAGUGAAGUGCGUGAAGCUCAUCUAGCUAAAUCUUUGUUCUACAUCAAGAUAGGUGACAAGGAGAAGGCCCUGGAGCAAUUGAAAGUUACAGAGGGUAAAACGGUUGCUGUUGGUCAGAAGAUGGAUUUGGUGUUUUACACGCUACAACUUGGAUUUUUCUAUAUGGACUUUGAUCUCAUCUCCAAAUCUAUAGAUAAGGCUAAAAAAUUAUUUGAGGAGGGAGGUGACUGGGAGAGGAAGAACCGGUUGAAAGUCUAUGAAGGCCUGUAUUGCAUGUCUACUAGGAAUUUUAAGAAAGCAACAGAUUUAUUUUUGGAUUCCAUUUCAACUUUCACCACAUAUGAGCUUUUUUCUUAUGAUACAUUUGUAUUCUACACUGUUCUGACAAGCCUGAUCUCUUUGGAAAGAGUCUACCUUAAACAAAAGGUGGUAGAUGCCCCAGAAAUCCUUGCAGUGAUAGGCAAAAUUCCUUUCUUAACUGAUUUUCUAAAUGCUCUUCAUGGAUGCCAAUACAAGUCAUUUUUUUCUCCUUUCUCGGGGUUAACUAACCAGAUAAAGUUGGAUCGUUAUCUGCAACCCCACUUUCGUUAUUACAUGAGGGAAGUUCGUGUUGUGGUUUAUUCUCAGUUCCUUGAAUCAUACA